CCUACGGGGCGCAGCAGUGAGGAAUAUUGGUCAAUGGGCGGAAGCCUGAACCAGCCAAGUAGCGUGCAGGAUGACGGCCCUACGGGUUGUAAACUGCUUUUAUACGGGAAUAACGCGCCUUACGUGUAGGGUUUUGCAUGUACCGUAUGAAUAAGGACCGGCUAAUUCCGUGCCAGCAGCCGCGGUAAUACGGAAGGUCCGGGCGUUAUCCGGAUUUAUUGGGUUUAAAGGGAGCGUAGGCCGCAUGUCAAGCGUGCUGUGAAAUGUCCGGGCUCAACCCGGGCCUUGCAGCGCGAACUGGCGUGCUUGAGUCCGCGGAAAGCAGGCGGAAUUCGUCGUGUAGCGGUGAAAUGCUUAGAUAUGACGAAGAACCCCGAUUGCGAAGGCAGCUUGCUGCAGCGGAACUGACGCUGAUGCUCGAAAGCGCGGGUAUCGAACAGGAUUAGAUACCCUUGUAGUC
rnacentral:rRNA from 1 species